rnacentral:lncRNA from 7 species
GGCUCGUUGCGCUCGCAAAUGGCCACGAGGGCCGCGGAGGCGCCAUCUCCCCCGCCGCCGAGAGAAGAAAGGACAUGAGCAAACUCUAGAUAGCGAAGCGGUUGGGCUUCCUCCUGAUCUCCUCCCGCAGCUCCCGCUCCAGCCUGCACCUGCGAAACACGAGGGAGAUGCCUGUGCCCCUCUCUCCCCUGACGCCCCUCCUUCCCGCGCCCCUCCCUCCCCCACCACCUCUUCCUCCACCUGGGUUGC